rnacentral:lncRNA from 1 species
GGACGGGAGUGGCGGGAUCUUGACGACUUGGAGUAAGAACAAAAGCUCUCACUGGCCGCCCGCUGUGGCCAGAGAUCCUGCUGGGCUCUUUUCUUGCCUUGCCUCCUGUCAUCCCGCAAGCCCAGGGAAAGAAGAAUCACAAGUGAGACCUAUGGAGUGAGGGUCUCUGACGUCCCACCGAUCCCUGGUACCCUGCUCGUCUUCCUGUUUUCACAUGCAUUUCUCCUUUACUCUGUCUCCCCCGCUUAAGGCCACUGAAUAAUGCUUUUGUUUUUCCUUUCUCUUUUUUUGUUUUUUGAAACAGGGCCUCCAGACUAGCCUCGAACCUGUGAUCUCCUGCCUCAGCCUUUCCACAUUCUGGGAUUACAGGAAUGCCCCACUAUGCCCAGCCCCACUGAAUAAUUCCUCCUUUUUAUGUCCAGUCCCUCCCCGGGGAGAGGGUUAAGGGAUCCUUGGCUGAGACGGGACUAGCAAAGCUUGAGGGGCUGCGAGGCCUAGGAGGGGCCUCGGUCAGGGCCAUGGGGCAGGCCAGACAUGGUCCCGGGCAGCCGCUCACAGUGUUUGCUGCCUGUCUGCAGGGACAAGGCCCGGGUGGUCAGCAGGCUGUGAGGUCUGAGACGUGGAGCAUCAGUGUAGCAGGACGCCAUCCCCCCAGCACCGUGACAUGUCCCUUCACUGUUCUGCCACCCCAAGGACAUAAUUAUGGCUUUCUCCUCCUGAAAGUGGCUGUCACAGAAGAGCCAGGCAGAAAAGGAGCGGCCAGUGGGUGGAGCACCAAUUAUUCCUGCACAGGUUAUUGCGAGGGGCAAAUGAGGUCACGAGGAGGAGUGUCGGGACACUCUGAAAGCAGGGAACCCUGCUCAAGUGGAAGAGAUGAAAACUGUCAAGCAGCUCUGUCUCCCUACAUUUGUGUCAGUUCCCCCUCCCCGGCCCUCUUUGAAGAGACCCCUUUGCACAGUUCCCGUGCUGUAUUCCAGGGAGCACGCACUCAGACGGAACCCUGGGGUCCCUGGCUGUGUGUGGACAGUUUUAGAGCUGCCUCUACACAGGUCUUAGCUGGGUUUUUUUUUUCCCCCCUUUGGGUGGGACUGGGAUUUGAACUCAGGACUUCACGCUUGCAAAGCAAGUACUCUAAUUUGAUCCCCACCUCCAGUCCAUUUUGCUCUGGUUAUUUUGGAGAUGGGAUCUCAAGCUAUUUGCCUGGGCUAGCCUCGAACCUUGGUCCUCCCAAUCUCAGCCUCCCAAGUAGCUGGGAUUACAGGCGUGAGCCACCAGCUCCCUGCUUGGUUGGUGGUUCUUGCCAGAAGGACAAAAUGAAGGAUGGCUCAAACUCUGAGGCUUUAUCAAGGGCGAACAGAACAGCCUGUCCUGGGCUCCUGCUUGGGGGAGCUGGGAACUGUCCCCUGGACGCUCGGGCACACCUUUGGACUAGAGUUUGGAGGCUGGGUCAGCUGCCAUCUGCCUCCCUCGGCUGGGCUCCUCCAGCGCCACAUGACGGGUCCCGUGGCAGAGCCUGGCCUCCAGGGCCAGCGAACGAUGAGAACCAAGCUCUGGGAGCUGUCAAAAGCCAGGUGACCUCUCACACCUGGAAAGUCACCUCCCCUGCUCGGGAGGGGACUGCACAGAAAGGUGCCGGCUCUCCCCCUCAGAGAGGGACCCAAAAUAAGGCACCAAGGGCCAGCCAGGCCCUGUCCCGGGGGACCUGGGUCCUCUGGGUGGCUGGUGGCCCAUGGGGUUUGGCAGGGUGGUGAACCUGGAGGGCUGUUCAGGGGCCGGAAGAGGGGUGGCUGGUGCCCCUCGAAUGCCCGCUGGCUCCCUGUGUACCCCACCCUCACCCUCUUGGCACAGCCCUGAGCCCCCCACGGCUGUCCUCCCAGGAGCCCCAGGCUCCAGAUGGCCUGACACACGGGGCUUGGCCAGAAAAGAGACAGGACCUGUCUGAGCGCACUGUGGGCGCCCUGUGCACACUUGUAAGACCGGAAGUACCUCUCGAAACCCUCAGAAAAAUAAAAGCCUGGGACAGGUAUGGUGGACGCCGCA